AGCCUGACAUUUAUUUCUGUGCCAACAGCAAAUGUACUCUCAGUCUCCCCAAAUUCCAUCCAUCUGAAGGCUGAAGAGAGAAAAUAGGGCAGCACCUCUGGAGGACAGUGUGUAUGUGGUUUCAGAAAGGACAGCAGAACCAUUUGGUUGGUCCAGAACAUUUACAAUAAAUGUUUUUCAAGCUCUGUGUCUGUUGUAGCAUUUCUCAAACACACAAACAGAGUACUCUCACGUUUAGUCCUCUACAUCAGUUACCUAGUAGCAGAUUUGGGGAUGAUCAGUGCCAGAAGAGGGGUGCCUGCCCUAGGGAGAUUUGCCAGGUAUUUUUAUAAUUAUUUUUUUAAAUUUUGGUGACAAAUGCUUGAUUUUUUUCAUGCUGUCCCAGUCAAUAACAGACCAGGUUUUCAAAGUCAACUAAGCACCAGACAUCCCUCCUAAUCUCUGUGAUUCUAUCCCAUUUAAGUUCUUCAGUCGAAGCAGGGAAAAGUCCUGGCAAACAAUGAGGAUGUUAUGGAACAUGGAAGACUGAGCUACUGAACUCCACAUCCUGACACAGCUGCCAGCCUAAGCCAGGCUUGGAAAGGUCUGGCAGCCUCAGUGCUCCACUGAAAGGAGCAAGAGAGCUGCACAGGCUCAGAAUCAUGGCUUUCAGAUGGUCAGGAACUGCAAUAACCACGUUGUGCAGUGGAGCAAAAGAACAGAAUCAAAAGGAUGGCCUGGGAAUACCCUGAGAAGGCUAAAGGAACCAAGGAAUGAAAGCACAACUUACCAGAGGUGUUGGGAACUGUAUCAAGGAGCACGGCCUGUGUGUCUCCUCUCUGGGCCUCCAUGAACUGCUCUGCCACAGCAAAGAGUUCUCAUACACCAGUGUGCAAGUGCAGAAGUAUUCUGGAGGCAACAAAACAUUUCUGCAAUAUCCCUACUUGUGAAUAUUGUUGUCUGCAAAGACUAAAAAAAGUAUUUCCCUUUGUUUCAUACAUACACACUUGUCGUACAUACA
rnacentral:lncRNA from 1 species